rnacentral:rRNA from 1 species
GAUGAACGCUGGCGGCGUGCCUAACACAUGCAAGUCGAGCGGCAGCGCGGGGUGCUUGCACCCUGUCGGCGAGCGGCGGACGGCUGAGUAACGCGUGGGAACGUGCCCCAAAGUGAGGAAUAACUGCCCGAAAGGGUAGCUAAUACCGCAUACUAUCUUCGGAUCAAAGGAUUUAUCCGCUUUGGGAGCGGCUCGCGUCGGAUUAGGUAGUUGGUGAGGUAAUGGCUCACCAAGCCGACGAUCCGUAGCUGGUCUGAGAGGAUGACCAGCCAGACUGGAACUGAGACACGGUCCAGACUCCUACGGGAGGCAGCAGUGAGGAAUCUUCCACAAUGGGCGAAAGCCUGAUGGAGCAACGCCGCGUGCAGGACGAAGGCCUUCGGGUUGUAAACUGCUUUUAUAAGUGAGGAAUAUGACGGUAACUUAUGAAUAAGGAUCGGCUAACUACGUG